UACGUAGGUGGCAAGCGUUGUCCGGAUUUACUGGGCGUAAAGAGCGCGCAGGCGGUUAUUCAAGUCGAAUGUGAAAGCCCCGGCUUAACUGGGGAGGGUCAUUCGAUACUGUUUAACUUGAAGGCAGGAGAGGGUAGUGGAAUUCCCGGUGUAGUGGUGAAAUGCGUAGAUAUCGGGAGGAACACCAGUGGCGAAGGCGACUACCUGGCCUGUUCUUGACGCUGAGGCGCGAAAGCUGGGGGGAGCAAACGGGG
rnacentral:rRNA from 1 species